GACGAACGCUGGCGGCGUGCCUAAUACAUGCAAGUCGAACGCAGUGGGGACGGGGGAGUAACACGUGGGUAACCUCCCAUCAGAGGGGAUAACACUUGGAAACAGGUGCUAAACCGAUACUGAUGGAUGGACCCGGGGUGCAUUAGCUAGUUGGGGAGGUAAAGGCUCACAAAGGCGACGAUGCAUAGCCGGCCUGAGAGGUUGAUCGGCCACACGGGGACUGAGACACGGCCCAGACUCCUAAGGGAGGCAGCAGUAGGGAAUCUUCGGCAAUGGACGAAAGUCUGACCGAGCAACGCCGCGUGAGUGAAGAAGGUUUGCGGAUCGUAAAACUCUGUUGUUAGAGAAGCGGUAUCUAACCAGAAAGCAACGGCUAACUACGUGCCAGCCGCCGCGGUAAUUC
rnacentral:rRNA from 1 species